AUUGAACGCUGGCGGCGUGCCUAACACAUGCAAGUCGAGCGCGAAGGGGGCUUCGGCCCCUGGAGAGCGGCAGACGGGUGAGUAACACGUGGGUAACCUGUCCUUGGGUGGGGGAUAACUACUCGAAAGGGUGGCUAAUACCGCAUAAGACCACGGCCUUGCGGGGCUGCGGUCAAAGGAGCAAUUCGCCUGAGGAGGGGCCCGCGGCCGAUUAGCUAGUUGGUGAGGUAACGGCUCACCAAGGCAACGAUCGGUAGCUGGUCUGAGAGGAUGAACAGCCACACUGGGACUGAGACACGGACCAGAGUCCUACGGGAGGCAGCAGUGGGGAAUAUUGCGCAAUGGGCGAAAGCCUGACGCAGCAACGCCGCGUGGGUGAUGAAGGCCUUCGGGUCGUAAAGCCCUGUCAGAUGGGACGAAACCUGCGCAAGCAGCUGACGGUACCAUCGAAGGAAGCACCGGCUAACUCCGUGCCAGCCGCCGCAGUAAGAC
rnacentral:rRNA from 1 species